rnacentral:sRNA from 1 species
CUUGGUCAUUUAGAGGAAGUAAAAGUCGUAACAAGGUUUCCGUAGGUGAACCUGCGGAAGGAUCAUUAGUGAAUUGAAUAUGUUAGCGGACCUCUUCGGAGUCCCCAGCAUCAAAUCAUAUCCAUAACACCUGUGAACUGUAAGGCUGUCUUGAAAACGAAAGUGAUUAGAGCGCCUGCCCAUUUUAUACAAACAUUAAAGUAACAAACGUAGUCUUAUUAUAAUCUAAUAAAACUUUCAACAACGGAUCUCUUGGCUCUCGCAUCGAUGAAGAACGCAGCGAAAUGCGAUAAGUAAUGUGAAUUGCAGAAUUCAGUGAAUCAUCGAAUCUUUGAACGCACCUUGCGCUCUUUGGUAUUCCGAAGAGCAUGCCUGUUUGAGUGUCAUGAAAAUAUCAACCUUGACUUGGGUUUAGUGCUCUUGUCUUGGCUUGGAUUUGGCUGUUUGCCGCUCGAAAGAGUCGGCUCAGCUUAAAAGUAUUAGCUGGAUCUGUCUUUGAGACUUGGUUUGACUUGGCGUAAUAAGUUAUUUCGCUGAGGACAAUCUUCGGAUUGGCCGAGUUUCUGGGACGUUUGUCCGCUUUCUAAUACAAGUUCUAGCUUGCUAGACAUGACUUUUUUAUUAUCUGGCCUCAAAUCAGGUAGGACUACCCGCUGAACUUAAGCAUAUCAAUAAGCGGAGGAAAAGAAACUAACAAGGAUUCCCCUAGUAACGGCGAGUGAAGCGGGAAGAGCUCAAAUUUGAAAUCUGGUGGCCUCAGGCUAUCCGAGUUGUAAUCUAUAGAAACAUUUUCCGCGUUGGCCCAUGUACAAGUCUCUUGGAAUAGAGCGUCAUAGAGGGUGAGAAUCCCGUCCUUGACAUGGACUACCAGUGCUUUGUGAUAUGUUUUCAACGAGUCGAGUUGUUUGGGAAU